CAUGCACCGAAGCUGCGGCAGCGACACUGUGUGUUGUUGGGUAGGGGAGCGUUCUGUAAGCCUGUGAAGGUGGCCUGUGAGGGUUGCUGGAGGUAUCAGAAGUGCGAAUGCUGACAUAAGUAACGAUAAAGCGGGUGAAAAGCCCGCUCGCCGGAAGACCAAGGGUUCCUGUCCAACGUUAAUCGGGGCAGGGUGAGUCGACCCCUAAGGCGAGGCCGAAAGGCGUAGUCGAUGGGAAACGGGUUAAUAUUCCCGUACUUGGUGUUACUGCGAAGGGGGGACGGAGAAGGCUAUGUUGGCCGGGCGACGGUUGUCCCGGUUUAAGCGUGUAGGUGUGUGUUCCAGGUAAAUCCGGUU
rnacentral:rRNA from 1 species